AACUUUCAACAACGGAUCUCUUGGUUCCAGCAUCGAUGAAGAACGCAGCGAAAUGCGAUAAAUAAUGUGAAUUGCAGAAUUCAGUGAAUCAUCGAGUCUUUGAACGCACAUUGCGCCCCUCGGUAUUCCGGGGGGCAUGCCUGUCCGAGCGUCAUU
rnacentral:rRNA from 2 species